GUGCUCACUUCGGCAGCACAUAUCUAAAAAUGCAAUGAUGCAGAGAAGAUUAGCAUGGCCCCACCCAAGGAUGAUAUGCAAAUUCGUGAAGCAUUCCAUAUGUUU